rnacentral:lncRNA from 1 species
GGGUUGUGGAUUCAUCUGGUUUCCAAGGCUCCUUAGGACUUAUACAUGUCACUUUUUAUUUUUUUCAUCUAUCUUAUUUAUUUUCUUCUUUAUUCUAUCGUUUUCUUGUUUAAUUGUUCAAAUCUUUGAUUUAUUUAACUGUUCUUUUUUUCCAGUUGUUUUUUUUAAUUCACAGAUCUGACUUGGAUUUGUUUGCGUUUCAGGUUGUGUCAAAAUUCAAGUUUCUUUCCAAUCAUCUAGAGCCCUAAGUGUAAUCCACGACUUGGAUAAACUUACGAUCUUGUUCCACCCAUUCAUUAUCACUU